GUUGUCAGAUGUUGAUGCUGUUUGCACUUUGUGGCCCGCGAACAGCAGCGUUUAGCCCAUGUGAGGUUGACUCACGGGGGCUGGCUAUUUGCCGGUGUUUGUCGAAGUCAUUCCUUGGACUUUCUAUCAAUCAGACAUUCCUUUCAAGAAAAUAUCGUUACUUGUUUUGGCAGCCUCCGGUCUUUGCUUUUAUAUCCUACCCAAUUCUUAGCUGUUCUCAGUAUUUAUCCAAGUAGUUGUGGCAUGUAGGUCCUUUCUACCUUCUUGUUUACAAACCUAAUUUAAACACAGUACUUGAGGAAACAGGCCAUGGUAGACAAAGACAAAGGAGUUUGAAAUAAGUUUUGUAAGCAGCACUCUGUUGUUACUGAGCAGUUUUCACAGAGAUUAAAUUCCACUUAAAUUAUUUUUUCCAGAAUUCACGGUGGGGAUUCACUCUGCUGGACCUAGCUCUACUGCACCCCCCUGGUCAUCUGUUAUCAACCCCCUUCGAUUUACCACAGUAGCAGUUUACAUAAAAGGUGGUGAAGAUUAGGAUUUUAGGUAAGCAUACAAAACAAAGAGAGAGCACUUAUCUGUUACUAUGUGCAGCAGUCAAGUUGUGUGUAGGUGUAGUGAAACAGCUUUUGGAACCAUAAAUGUAAUCUUGAUAGCACUUGCAUGGAAACAGUGCUAUUGUGUGUUAAUGACAAUGGUAUAACCGGCAUGAAGUGAAACUGGUGACUAAUUCAAAAAACAAACUUCCUGUCUGCACCAAAAGCCCUUUUGUAGAAAAAUGCAUUUUCUUCAUUGACCCAUGGCAUUAAAUCACAUUGCAGUAUUACCUCUGCUGGCAGUAGCGUUCAGAUACAGCAAAAAGUUAUAAUUUGGAGAGUUUUCACUUUUUAAUUUGUUUAAUUCUUCCAUCUCCUGACCAGAAGCAAAGAGCUUUGCUUGACAGUCUUCUGUCAAAUGGCAGCAAGGAAUGAAUACUUUCAGCUGUGAUCUUAUCAUAUUUCGUAAGUGAGAUGGGACAUUUCCAGAAGUCCUAAAGAAGCAGAAAGUGGUGUUUGCAGGUCACCAGGUUAUGGUCUUUUCUUCCAUGUGAGGAAUCGCUUUAACAGUCUGCCUUUGGUCUCAGAUUGCUGGUGUAAAAUUGUGGUUGUAAGUAUUGGUAGUUAUUAAGAUCUGGGGAUUUUUCCCUAACUAAUAAUGAGAGAAACACAUUCUCGUUUAAAAAAAAAUGAGAGUACAUCUAUGGAAGGAAAUCUCCUAGAGAAAACCUGAGUUGUAUUCCAUUCCUUUUUCAUUGUCUCUAAUUCCCAUGAUAGGUGAAUCCAACAAACCAGUGAGUCCAUAGCCGUUAUGUAGAUGAUGUGGAACUGGUGUGAGGAAGGGGCCUGUAGAUGGGAGAGACAAGAGAACCUGUUUCCCCUGUGUACCAGAACAAGAGAAAUAAAAAUACUUAUUCCAUUCAUUAACAAGAAAAAGUGAUUUAAACAUAGUGAAAACAUAUGAAAGGUUUUAAUUUUUAGGGGUGUUUGUAGUUUUCAAUGGACAGCAUGGAAUUUCCCCCUAGAAUGUCAUUUAAUCAAAAUAUCUGUCUGUUGAACAGUGUUUUGUGGUACAAUUUGAUGAACCCUAACAGCAAGUAAGAAAUUAAUAGCUGAACCCUAAUAGCAAGUAAGAAAUUAAUAGCUGCUAGUGCGUGCUUGCUUCUAGUUCAAAUUAUUGUGAUGUGUCUGUCAAGGUAAACUCUUUCCAUUUCCUGACAUUAUUUCUCUUAACUAAAUUUUAAAAACAGUGCGGACAAUAUAUCCACCUCUGGAUUUGGAUGGAGCACCUGAUGGCUUUAUCAUCCCCAGCUGAAAAUAUCUACAUCCACAGUUUGCCCUGCAUCACGUGCUGUAUGACGGCUCCCUAGGCCACUUCAGUGCAGGGCAAGCCAGGUUAGCCCAAAAGCCCUUUGUCAGUUAAAGCUGAGAGAGCUGACUUUGCACCGAACCACAAGGAGGUUGUCCACAGCUUCCUUUUUUUGCCAGCUUUCUUGUAGCCUCUAGUGUAGAUUCAGUUGUAAGAGGAAUGGAGGAAGCUGAGCCUUAAAUCACAGUAGGUGUUUGCAAAGUGAAUAUAUUUAAACCUAAAGUCUCCUUUUUUGCCACUCGAUACUAUGUGCUGUGAACAUUUACAUCGACUACAAAAGAGAGAUGCCAAGUUAGGAACAUUGAUUGCAACAAACCAAGUUGAGUUAUGGAAAAACGUUACUUAUUCAACCUCCAGGAACGUCUGUAUAAAUUCACAUCUUACCUGACAGAUCUAUGCAGGUUUGCUGACUGACUCAUUGUUCCCUGUCCUGUGUUACCAUAUUUUAUCCUUUAGGCUUCUGAGCGAAACGGGUUAAUACCAAAGGAGACUUAAAAUAGCAUUUCUCUGAUGUCUUUUACAGCCAUUGCCAAGGUGCAGUUUGUGUCUCCAGGUUUAAAAAGGAUCACACAGCAAUUGAUGCACAGUCAAAGCUUUAAAACCAAAUAAACGUACGGAAUAACCAUCAAGGCAUUUUGCCUGCUUUUGAUUUUGUAUUCGUGGUAAGAGCUGUGCAAGAGAAAGUUGCCACACAAGCAUGUUUUGCUCGCUAUCUGAAUCUAUCCCCACAUGACUUUUUCAGGAAUUACGAUAUUACCAGACUUGCAGAAGCUCACAAAAAAUGCACCCAUUUCUAGGCACUUGGUCCAAACUCUUAAAAUAUUUACAGUGUGGCCCUCCAGGAAGCUGAGCAUCUCUAGGUCUCACGUAGGCAGGCAAGCCACGGAUCCCUCAGCCUCACCCUGAUUGAGUCCUUAAGACUGCAAGAGAGAAGAAAUUAAAAUAGACAAGAGGAACUGCCUGCUCAAUUGAGCUUUAUUUUGUAAUACACAGGCAGACUGCAAGGUCAGCAAAUCUCUGCAAGCUAUGUGGCCAUAUGGGCAAUGGCAGUUUAUGAAACAACUGUGCCAGAUUUGGCAGCCUUGAUGAUGGCCACAUGGCAGGUCAGUGAAAACCAUUUCAGUGCCAGUUGUAUAAUUUCACUCUUCAGUCAUCUGAGAAGAAUAUUUAAGAUGAGAUUUUAGAAAGGAUCAUGUCAUUUCAGCUCUGAAACUUACGCUGUUUUUAUAUGGCAUAUACGCUUCUGAUGUAACCAGCAGAGUUCUUUUGCUCCAUCUUGGGUAAUUGAAGACAAUCAAGUCUUCAAUAAAUAAAUAAAUAUUGAUUCUUAUUCUUUAUAUGUGUGUAGGCUUGUAUUUGAGUAUUUUGAAGUAAUUUGGGGGUAAACGUGUAACAAAGGAGAUAACGGUUUUCCGAGAGAAAACUAAGACCCAUGUUAGGCUCAGACUGAUGUAAGUUAUUUGCAGCCUCAAUAGCCUUCAAAUCUCUUGAAGUCCUCUACUUUAACAAAAUGCCAAGUUUUCUGAUUGUUUUAAAAGGGCUGCUGCUUAUAGCUUAGUUGUUUCUGGCUGGUCAAGGUUGGAGGGAUCGUUGUGGCUGGCCGCUGAUUGUGUCACCAGCCAAAAUACUGUUUCAUCUUUCAGGCCUUCAGCAGCUGGGCCAGAUUGACGUGAACAUGGGAGCAAACUGACUCUUGCAACACCUGGCCUCUGGAGAUAACCCCACCCAGCUUGACUCCAGGCCAAGUCACGGCACAAACAACCUCUGUUGUAUUGACAGAUGACCUCAUGAGAAUGAACAGAUAAGACAAAAUGAUGUUGAUACUACUUGAUCUGUAAGCCAUGUUCGAUAUUGUCAGCCAGGGCAGUCAGGAAUGCUGAUGUGACCACAAGCCCUUGGGGAAUUUGUUUGAUGCCUGGCUCUCAUCACGCCCCGCCAGGACACUGACUGCUGCCUUAGGGCUUCAUCCCCUGGCUGGCUCUUGGCCGGCAGGCUCCUUGCCGCAGCCGGGAAACCCACUGCUCAGAGUUUUCCAUAGGCCUUUUUGCAUACCACAGUCCGUAUCUGCAACAAUAAAUAUAAAAUACUAUCGCUCACUGAAUGUAGAUGUAUUUCUAUUUCAGUAUGCUUCGUUUUGUCAUAAGUAGUCCCAGUAAGAAGAUAACCCUAGGAGUACCAGUGGCACUUUGUCAGUGUGGCUGCCUCCAUUGGUGGCCCUGUACUGCUUGAAGUGCACCAGUAAAACACAUCCCAAAUUAGUCCCCUCACGUGAGAAAAAUAUACUGGAAAGACCAGAUGAAAAAUUACUUCAAACAUGAAUUGAUUCUGUCUGUAAUCCAUCACUUAACAAGGGUGAGGGACCUGCAGCAGGGUCACAGAGACGGAUCCCCCAGUUCUUUGCCAAGUGGAUUGUGACUUAUGUGGGAAUCAUGUCUGAAUGAAAGUAAUGUAGUACCAGGAGCUGAUCCACAGUAAAUAGGAAAAAAACACAAGUUACUUUAUUUACAAGAAGCAUAUUCCCCAGGACAGAAUUGAAUUCUACUUGUUUGUCCCACUUGCAAACAGCAAACAAGGUAUCUGGUCCUGGGUUCUAUUCCAACUAAUCCUACUAAUGCGUCUGUUCAUUUUGGCCAGUUCUUGAUUGCUCAGGAAGAGGUGAACUUGGAGGAUCUCUUAGUAUCAAUGAAACAGAUGUGGCAUUUUAACGCUGUUAGCAAAACAAAAUGUCAAGAUGGUCAGAGAGUUUCAGUUUUCGUCUGUACUUCAGGGUUUUUUGCUUGGUUUUACCCUACUAGUGAAGCCUGCAAGCUACUUCACCCUAUGAGCAGACUCUUUUUGUGUAAUGGUAAAGUAAAACUUAGAACUAGAUACACCGUUAAAGAUGGCGUACAAGGCACAAAUUUUUGUCAGUUAUCCAAUUUAUCAAAAUCGCUUAGAAUUCCAAUUCUGUUCUCCAGAGUGCUGACAACCAACUUGAUAACAUCGGCAAAUUUUGCAUUUGGACUUCUGGUGUUCAAGGCAUUAAUACAAACACAAACUGCGUUACAAACCUUUUGAUAUGUCUUCCAUCUUUAUGGCAGACUAUUGAUAACUACUCUGAAUACAAUACAAUAAUAUAUCAACAUUGUUUUCUUACUGGAAACAGGGGAUGUGGGAAAAGCUUUUCUGCAGUCAAAAAUACAUCAGAUCUCCUGGCUCCCACUUUUAAUGUAUAGCCACUUCUUCGGACAAAAAUGGAAACUAUGUACACUGUGGUUUGGUCAUGUCGGGAUUCACAAAAGAAGUUUCUUAACAGGUUAUUAUCUUCUAGAUGCUUUCACAGACUGUUUAAUGUAGUGUUCGGCCAGGUAUGCUGACACUGAGGUGACUGACGAAUGCAAAUACAUAAGUAAGAGUUGGUUUUGAUUUCAUUGUUAAAUAGUGCCUUGGUAUCUGUCUUUGUACAGUAAACAAUAUAUUUCAUAGUUUACAUCAGAUUGAAUCCUUCUGCAAAUGUAAACAAAUACAUUCGUGAGAACAGGAAAGUAAACUCUGUGGGACAUUCAUGGCUGCAGUGAUAAAUCAAUUAAAAAUA